UUUACUGUAGCUCAGUGAUUAGAGCACUCGUCUAAUGAGCGGGAGACCUGGGUUCAAUUCCCAGCAGGCGAAA